rnacentral:piRNA from 1 species
UGUUAUAAGGGGGACACUGAUUGAAUGA